GAUGAACGCUGGCGGCGUGCCUAAUACAUGCAAGUCGAACGAAACUUCUUUAUCACCGAGUGCUUGCACUCACCGAUAAAGAGUUGAGUGGCGAACGGGUGAGUAACACGUGGGCAACCUGCCCAAAAGAGGGGGAUAACACUUGGAAACAGGUGCUAAUACCGCAUAACCUUAGUUACCGCAUGGUAACUAUGUAAAAGGUGGCUAUACUACCGCUUUUGGAUGGGCCCGCGGCGCAUUAGCUAGUUGGUAGGGUAAAGGCUUACCAAGGCAAUGAUGCGUAGCCGAAUUGAGAGGUUGAUCGGCCACAUUGGGACUGAGACACGGCCCAAACUCCUACGGGAGGCAGCAGUAGGGAAUCUUCCACAAUGGGCGAAAGCCUGAUGGAGCAACGCCGCGUGGGUGAAGAAGGUCUUCGGAUCGUAAAACCCUGUUGUUAGAGAAGAAAGUGCGUGAGAGUAACUGUUCACGUUUCGACGGUAUCUAACCAGAAAGCCACGGCUAACUACGUG
rnacentral:rRNA from 1 species